rnacentral:rRNA from 1 species
CAUGGUACAAAGCUGAAAGAAAUGUGGCACUUUUCGGAGUGUGUUAUAGUCUUUCAUCGUAUGCAGUGCUUGGGACUGAGGAACUCUGCACAACCUCUAGGUUUUGUGCAUAGGUUGCUGGCAUAAUGGCCUUAAGCGACCCGUCUUGAAACACGGACCAAGGAGUCUAACAUGCCUGCAAGUAUUUGGGUGAUAAAACUCGAGUGCGAAAUGAAAGUGAAAGUCAAGACCUCUGUCAUGGAGGGCAUUGACACCCGGACCAAAGUCUAUGACAAUGGAUCCGCGGUAGAGCAUGUAUGUUGGGACCCGAAAGAUGGUGAACAUAUGCCUGAAUAGGGUGAAGCCAGCAGGUAACUC